rnacentral:tRNA from 1 species
GCCCCUGUAGCGCUAUGAAUAGCGCGUUGGACUUCUAAUCCAAAGGUCGUGGGUUCGAAUUCCACCUGGGAUG